AUUGCAAAGAGUGGCGAACGGGUGAGUAACACGUGGGAAACCUACCUCUUAGCGGGGAUAACACUUGGAAACAAGUGCUAAUACCGCAUAAUACUGAUAACCGCAUGGUUAUCAGUUGAAAGAUGGUUCUGCUAUCACUAAGAGAUGGUCCCGCGGUGCAUUAGCUAGUUGGUAAGGUAAUGGCUUACCAAGGCGAUGAUGCAUAGCUGAGUUGAGAGACUGAUCGGCCACAAUGGGACUGAGACACGGCCCAGACUCC
rnacentral:rRNA from 1 species